rnacentral:rRNA from 1 species
GACGGGUGAGUAAUGCCUAGGAUUCUGCCUGGUAGUGGGGGAUAACGUUCGGAAACGGACGCUAAUACCGCAUACGUUCUACGGGAGAAAGCAGGGGACCUUCGGGCCUUGCGCUAUCAGAUGAGCCUAGGUCGGAUUAGCUAGUUGGUGGGGUAAUGGCUCACCAAGGCGACGAUCCGUAACUGGUCUGAGAGGAUGAUCAGUCACACUGGAACUGAGACACGGUCCAGACUCCUACGGGAGGCAGCAGUGGGGAAUAUUGGACAAUGGGCGAAAGCCUGAUCCAGCCAUGCCGCGUGUGUGAAGAAGGUCUUCGGAUUGUAAAGCACUUUAAGUUGGGAGGAAGGGUUGUAGAUUAAUACUCUGCAAUUUUGACGUUACCGACAGAAUAAGCACCGGCUAACUCUGUGCCAGCAGCCGCGGUAAUACAGAGGGUGCAAGCGUUAAUCGGAAUUACUGGGCGUAAAGCGCGCGUAGGUGGUUAGUUAAGUUGGAUGUGAAAUCCCCGGGCUCAACCUGGGAACUGCAUUCAAAACUGACUGACUAGAGUAUGGUAGAGGGUGGUGGAAUUUCCUGUGUAGCGGUGAAAUGCGUAGAUAUAGGAAGGAACACCAGUGGCGAAGGCGACCACCUGGACUGAUACUGACACUGAGGUGCGAAAGCGUGGGGAGCAAAC